GAUGAACGCUGGCGGCGUGCCUAAUACAUGCAAGUCGAGCGAACAGACGAGGAGCUUGCUCCUCUGACGUUAGCGGCGGACGGGUGAGUAACACGUGGAUAACCUACCUAUAAGACUGGGAUAACUUCGGGAAACCGGAGCUAAUACCGGAUAAUAUAUUGAACCGCAUGGUUCAAUAGUGAAAGACGGUUUUGCUGUCACUUAUAGAUGGAUCCGCGCCGCAUUAGCUAGUUGGUAAGGUAACGGCUUACCAAGGCAACGAUGCGUAGCCGACCUGAGAGGGUGAUCGGCCACACUGGAACUGAGACACGGUCCAGACUCCUACGGGAGGCAGCAGUAGGGAAUCUUCCGCAAUGGGCGAAAGCCUGACGGAGCAACGCCGCGUGAGUGAUGAAGGUCUUCGGAUCGUAAAACUCUUUUAUUAGGGAAGAACAAAUGUGUAAGUAACUAUGCACGUCUUGACGGUACCUAAUCAGAAAGCCACGGCUAACUUCGUG
rnacentral:rRNA from 1 species